rnacentral:rRNA from 1 species
UACAGAGGGUGCGAGCGUUGUUCGGAAUUAUUGGGCGUAAAGCGCUGGUAGGUGGCUUGUUAAGUCGCGUGUGAAAGCUCCAGGCUCAACCUGGAAAGUGCGCGCGAAACUGGCGAGCUUGAGUGCCGGAGAGGGUCGUGGAAUUCCCAGUGUAGAGGUGAAAUUCGUAGAUAUUGGGAGGAACACCAGAGGCGAAGGCGACGACCUGGAAGGUAACUGACACUGAGCAGCGAAAGCGUGGGGAGCAAACAGG